ACAAGCUUAAUGGGAUGUUGGUGAUAUUUCUUCGGAUUCAGGCCAGUCAAAUCAUUGUCUGAAUCCGAAGAAAUAUCACCAACAUCCCAUUAA
rnacentral:pre_miRNA from 1 species